rnacentral:rRNA from 2 species
AGCGCAUACGGUGGAUGCCUUGGCAGUCAGAGGCGAUGAAAGACGUGGUAGCCUGCGAAAAGCUUCGGGGAGUCGGCAAACAGACUGUGAUCCGGAGAUGUCUGAAUGGGGGAACCCAGCCAUCAUAAGAUGGUUAUCUUGUACUGAAUACAUAGGUGCAAGAGGCGAACCAGGGGAACUGAAACAUCUAAGUACCCUGAGGAAAAGAAAUCAACCGAGAUUCCCUUAGUAGUGGCGAGCGAACGGGGACCAGCCCUUAAGUUGUAUUGAGAUUAGCGGAACACUCUGGAAAGGGUGGCCAUAGUGGGUGAUAGCCCUGUACGCGAAAAUCCCUUUGCAAUGAAAUCGAGUAGGACGGGGCACGAGAAACCUUGUCUGAAUAUGGGGGGACCAUCCUCCAAGGCUAAAUACUACUGACUGACCGAUAGUGAACCAGUACCGUGAGGGAAAGGCGAAAAGAACCGCGGAGAGCGGAGUGAAAUAGAUCCUGAAACCGUAUGCGUACAAGCAGUGGGAGCCCACUUUGUUGGGUGACUGCGUACCUUUUGUAUAAUGGGUCAGCGACUUAUUUUCAGUGGCGAGCUUAACCGAAUAGGGGAGGCGUAGCGAAAGCGAGUCUUAAUAGGGCGUCUAGUCGCUGGGAAUAGACCCGAAACCGGGCGAUCUAUCCAUGGGCAGGUUGAAGGUUGGGUAACACUAACUGGAGGACCGAACCGACUACCGUUGAAAAGUUAGCGGAUGACCUGUGGAUCGGAGUGAAAGGCUAAUCAAGCUCGGAGAUAGCUGGUUCUCCUCGAAAGCUAUUUAGGUAGCGCCUCAUGUAUCACUGUAGGGGGUAGAGCACUGUUUCGGCUAGGGGGUCAUCCCGACUUACCAAACCGAUGCAAACUCCGAAUACCUACAAGUGCCGAGCAUGGGAGACACACGGCGGGUGCUAACGUCCGUCGUGAAAAGGGAAACAACCCAGACCGUCAGCUAAGGUCCCAAAGUCAUGGUUAAGUGGGAAACGAUGUGGGAAGGCUUAGACAGCUAGGAGGUUGGCUUAGAAGCAGCCACCCUUUAAAGAAAGCGUAAUAGCUCACUAGUCGAGUCGGCCUGCGCGGAAGAUGUAACGGGGCUCAAACCAUGCACCGAAGCUACGGGUAUCAUCUUUUGAUGAUGCGGUAGAGGAGCGUUCUGUAAGCCUGUGAAGGUGAGUUGAGAAGCUUGCUGGAGGUAUCAGAAGUGCGAAUGCUGACAUGAGUAACGACAAUGGGUGUGAAAAACACCCACGCCGAAAGACCAAGGUUUCCUGCGCAACGUUAAUCGACGCAGGGUUAGUCGGUCCCUAAGGCGAGGCUGAAAAGCGUAGUCGAUGGAAAACAGGUUAAUAUUCCUGUACUUCUGGUUAUUGCGAUGGAGGGACGGAGAAGGCUAGGCCAGCCUGGCGUUGGUUGUCCAGGUUUAAGGUGGUAGGCUGAGAUCUUAGGUAAAUCCGGGAUCUUAAGGCCGAGAGCUGAUGACGAGUGUUCUUUUAGAACACGAAGUGGUUGAUGCCAUGCUUCCAAGAAAAGCUUCUAAGCUUCAGGUAACCAGGAACCGUACCCCAAACCGACACAGGUGGUUGGGUAGAGAAUACCAAGGCGCUUGAGAGAACUCGGGUGAAGGAACUAGGCAAAAUGGCACCGUAACUUCGGGAGAAGGUGCGCCGGUGGAGGUGAAGCAUUUACUGCGUAAGCCCCUGCCGGUCGAAGAUACCAGGCCGCUGCGACUGUUUAUUAAAAACACAGCACUCUGCAAACACGAAAGUGGACGUAUAGGGUGUGACGCCUGCCCGGUGCCGGAAGGUUAAUUGAUGGGGUUAGCGCAAGCGAAGCUCUUGAUCGAAGCCCCGGUAAACGGCGGCCGUAACUAUAACGGUCCUAAGGUAGCGAAAUUCCUUGUCGGGUAAGUUCCGACCUGCACGAAUGGCGUAACGAUGGCGGCGCUGUCUCCACCCGAGACUCAGUGAAAUUGAAAUCGCUGUGAAGAUGCAGUGUAUCCGCGGCUAGACGGAAAGACCCCGUGAACCUUUACUAUAGCUUUGCACUGGACUUUGAAUUUGCUUGUGUAGGAUAGGUGGGAGGCUUUGAAGCGUGGACGCCAGUCUGCGUGGAGCCAACCUUGAAAUACCACCCUGGCAACUUUGAGGUUCUAACUCAGGUCCGUUAUCCGGAUCGAGGACAGUGUAUGGUGGGUAGUUUGACUGGGGCGGUCUCCUCCUAAAGAGUAACGGAGGAGUACGAAGGUGCGCUCAGACCGGUCGGAAAUCGGUCGUAGAGUAUAAAGGCAAAAGCGCGCUUGACUGCGAGACAGACACGUCGAGCAGGUACGAAAGUAGGUCUUAGUGAUCCGGUGGUUCUGUAUGGAAGGGCCAUCGCUCAACGGAUAAAAGGUACUCCGGGGAUAACAGGCUGAUACCGCCCAAGAGUUCAUAUCGACGGCGGUGUUUGGCACCUCGAUGUCGGCUCAUCACAUCCUGGGGCUGAAGCCGGUCCCAAGGGUAUGGCUGUUCGCCAUUUAAAGUGGUACGCGAGCUGGGUUUAGAACGUCGUGAGACAGUUCGGUCCCUAUCUGCCGUGGACGUUUGAGAUUUGAGAGGGGCUGCUCCUAGUACGAGAGGACCGGAGUGGACGAACCUCUGGUGUUCCGGUUGUCACGCCAGUGGCAUUGCCGGGUAGCUAUGUUCGGAAAAGAUAACCGCUGAAAGCAUCUAAGCGGGAAACUUGCCUCAAGAUGAGAUCUCACUGGAACCUUGA